GCCAGCAGCCAUAUCACCCUGGAACACAGCUGGCAGCCCCACUAAAGCUCAGUGGGUGUGAGCCUGGUCAGUACCUGGAUAAGAGACCUCCUGGGAGAAACAAAGGUUGCUGCUGGAA
rnacentral:rRNA from 1 species